GUGUCUGUGGCUCAGUGGUACAGCACUCGCCAAGCACGUGCGAGGGCCUGGGUUCGAUCCUCAGCACCACA
rnacentral:tRNA from 1 species